rnacentral:lncRNA from 1 species
GCCAGCGGGGUGGCCGUUUGAGUCCUCCAGCGGGGACCUUGAGGGCUGGGGUGCGGCUUCUCCCCCAACACAUUCUGCGCUGGGCGUGCGGUGGCUCUCCGUCCUCCCUCCCUCCGUUCCCAAGCCGGGGCGCCUGCUGGGCUGCGCGCUCCCUCGGAGGCCCCCUUGGGAACGCUUUUCCCCGGCAGAAGCCGGCCGGCGUCUCAUUUCGCCUCCCCCAGCGCAUCAAGGCUAAAGCCGGGCCGCCCUCGCGCGCCUGUGGGUGGCCCGUGGUGAGGGGCAGCUCGUCCAUCAGAGCUGUUUGCAAUGGUCGCGCUGGAGAAUUCGUAGUUAGCUCUGGUUUUUCACUCUUAGUCAUUACCUCAGCGAAGAAACUUCCAAACUCAGUGCAGGAGUGAGGUGACGUGUGGGAUCCAGUAUUGCUUUUGGUGGUAUACUUUGAACAUAACUCAGCUACCCUAAAUGAACUAAAGACUGGCAUAUUUUUAGGGGAACAUUAAGAAAUUGCUUUGUAUGUUUAAGGGGUAGAACAAGGUGAUGAGGAGCUUGUAAUAUGGGGACUAGUUAAAGAAACUAGCCUGGAGAUAGGGUACGUACUCCCCCAUUUAUUACAAGGCGGAAAUGGCUCUAUUUCUUCAUCUGUUAUCACUUGCCAGUAUCCUAUAGGCAUUUGAAUUUGCCAUCCAUGAUACGGUCCUUAGAGACUCUGGAGGGAUUUAUUCAACAAAUAUUAGCACCUACUGCAUGCAGAUCACUGGAGAUACAGCAGGACAGAGAGGACAAGGUCUCCACGCAUAUGGGAGGAAUGAGGAGUAGCCACUGUGUUCUUGAGACUGUUGUAAAUAUUAGAUAUUUUAUAAAGAGUGUUGAUAGGGAAUGUUAGAUGAAAAAACCAACACUCCACUCAAGAAAGUGAAAAGACAACCUCCGGAAGGAACCAAGAUUCAACUCCCUGUUCAGUUCAGGCUGGUUAAGAUGACCUAUUCACCAGCUGGGCCUGUGCAGAUGACCACUCGGUGAUCCUUUGACAUCAAACAGCCAAAAACUCCACCCUCAGAUCCUGGUGACAUUGCCAUUUUGUGAACAGGUGCCCUGCGAAGAGCCGUGAAGCUUGACUACGCUCGCAAAGAUCAUCAAUUACCUCACUUCUCCUUACCUCCAAUCAUGUAUUCCCACACUUCAGACGGCCCUGCCCUUUAUCUCGUAAAUCUCCCUAAUCCUCAAUUUUGGGGGAGGUGGAUUUGAGAUUGCUUCUCUUGUCUCCUUGCUUGGAUGCCUUGUGAUUAAAUCCUUUCUCAUUGCAAAUUCA